rnacentral:misc_RNA from 1 species
GAAAUGCGAUACGUGGUGUGAAUUGCAGAAUCCCGUGAACCAUCGAGUCUUUGAACGCAAGUUGCGCCCAAGGGACCCUCCCGAGGGCACGCCUGCCUCAUGGGCGUUAGAAGCCCAUCCACGCUCGGCUGCCUGAGUAACGGCAAGAGAUGCGGAUACUGGCCCUCCGAGCCGCGAGGCGCGGUGGGCCUAAGUGUGCGGCCGUCGUACGUGGCCGGGAGCGGCGAGUGGUGGGCUACUGCGCACGUCACCCCGAGCCCCGUACCGACGCAGGGCCUUGUUUGAACCCCUAACGAGGAGCAUGCCGUCGCGGCUUCUGCUGCGCGGCGCCUUCGGACCGAUACCCCAGGUCAGGCGGGGCUACCCGCCGAGUUUAA